CUACCCGGGUAUCUAAUCCUGUUUGCUACCCACGCUUUCGUACCUCAGCGUCAGAUGAUGACCAGAAAGUCGCCUUCGCCACCGGUAUUCUUCCUAAUAUCUGCGCAUUUCACCGCUACACUAGGAAUUCCACUUUCCCUUCCAUCUCUCAAGCCUAGCAGUUUUAAAAGCUUUAUAUAGUUGAGCUAUAUUCUUUAACUUCUAACUUACUAGGCCGCCUACGUACCCUUUACGCCCAAUGAUUCCGGACAACGCUCGGUCCAUACGUAUUACCGCGGCUGCUGGCAC
rnacentral:rRNA from 1 species